UCAACAUUCGGACCGUCGCUCUACCGAGCAAUAUCACCCAUUCAGUAAAAGAUCUUUCCUUUGUCAU
rnacentral:pre_miRNA from 1 species